rnacentral:tRNA from 1 species
AGUUUCAUAGUUUAACAAAAACGUCAGCCUGCAAUGCUGAAGACACUACAUAGUUGGAGCUU